CUCCAGUGUGUAGAAGAGCUGCAGCACUGUUGUGCAUUUCUGGGUGAGAUGAAUUAAAAUUCAGGAGGACCCGGUAGCACCCUGUGCUCUACAUUACACCAAAUUUCUGGACAUGAUGCUAUGGGACUGGACUCCCUAAUGGCACCAAACAUGGAAAGACUGUUUCCCACCCACCAGAACAGAAAUCGGCCAGGCUGAUGGAGUCAUCUCAGGGAGCCACGUGCUGCACAG